rnacentral:misc_RNA from 1 species
CGGAGAGUUUCUUUGUAUACGGAGGAACAAGUUACAAUUGUUAGGGAGAUCAAGAGGAAGAAGGAUUAUUACGAUAUCUUAGGGUUGGAGAAAGGAUCUAGUGUUGAGGAUGUGAGGAAAUCUUAUAGGAAGUUAUCUUUAAAAGUUCAUCCUGAUAAGAACAAGGCUCCGGGGGCGGAAGAGGCGUUUAAGAUGGUGUCUAAGGCAUUUCAGUGUUUGAGUGAUGCGGAGAGAAGGAGAACAUAUGACUCUGUUGGCUCUGAGGAGCCUGUUUAUACGAGACAUCCUACUACACAUCAUCAUGCUACUGGAUUUCGAUUUAGUGAUGACGUUGAUGCUGAUGAGAUAUUUAGGAAUUUCUUCUUUGGCGGUAUGAAUCCGGCAACUACUACUCAUUUUAGCUUUGGCACUGGAAUGGGAAUGGGAGGAAAUCAGGGAUCAAAGUCCUUAUUCAAGACUUUGAUUCAAUUGUUGCCUGUCAUAUUGAUCUUGUUGGUCAACUUUCUACCUUCAUCAGACCCAGUUUAUUUAUUUUCGAGGUCUUAUCCAUAUGAUCUUCGCCUGGCUACAGAAAGGGGUGUCAACUACUAUGUCAAGUCUGGGAAAUUUGAACAGGAGUAUCCUGUUAAUACCCCAAUGCGUUCAGCCCUUGAAGAAAAAAUCGACAAUGAUUAUUUCUCAAUUCUAUCUCACAACUGCAGGCUUGAGCAACAACAGCUUCAUUGGGGUUAUCAACGACAAACACCAAAUUGUGAUACAUUAAAGCAGUUCCAAGCUGCAGCUUGAUUUACUAUGAAAGGGUGCUGUUUCCUCCUUGUGAUAUCUUACUCCCAAAAUAAAUUUAGUUUUGGAUUUUAGAUUGACAAUCAUAUGCAGUUUGGUCCCUUUAUUUAAAUCCUAUAUAUUCAUAGAUAACUUAGUGAACUUGCCAAUCUUGUUUGCAUUGUUUGAUAAUUUCUGUGUUAAAUGCAGAACAUAUAUGUCAUAUUCUGUUCUGAACUCUACUGGAUAGUAAUU